rnacentral:rRNA from 1 species
UACGAAGGGGGCUAGCGUUGUUCGGAUUUACUGGGCGUAAAGCGCACGUAGGCGGAUCGUUAAGUCGGGGGUGAAAUCCUGGAGCUCAACUCCAGAACUGCCUUCGAUACUGGCGAUCUUGAGUCCGGAAGAGGUGAGUGGAACUCCUAGUGUAGAGGUGGAAUUCGUAGAUAUUAGGAAGAACACCAGUGGCGAAGGCGGCUCACUGGUCCGGUACUGACGCUGAGGGUGCGAAA